rnacentral:snRNA from 1 species
AGCUUUGAGCAGUGGCAGUAUCAUAGCCAACGAGGUUAAUCCGAGGUGUGAUUAUUGCUAGUUGAAAACUUUCCUUUGCCUUGCUGUCACAUGAAUUAAAGUUUACAAAUUCAUUUUUCAGUCAUGGGAGGCAAAAAUUAUUUUCAGACUCAUUGGUGU